GCCUAGGACGGGAGGAGGAGGCAGAAAGUGGGGUGUCGAGUCUGGCCACCUUGUUGAGGGCACCGGAAAGGUCCUGAAAAGGCGGAGGUACCUGCAGUGCCCUGAGGUCCCGGCCACCAGAUAUGGAUGAUUAUAGAAGAUACUUUAGCGAUGAGUUUUAUAACAGAUUGUGGAUUGGAUGAACCAUAUUCAUUUGCAACAUGAUGUUUAGUACCAGGACUCUUCCCUGUCAUUGGUUUCCUUCAAGAAGAGAAAUACAGCACAGUGCCCGGUCCAGUGGCUUGAUUUGAUGUUUCUACCUG
rnacentral:lncRNA from 1 species